GGUGGUGCAUGGCUGUCGUCAGCUCGUGCCGUAAGGUGUUGGGUUAAAUCUCGCGACGAGCGCAACUCUCGUGUUUAGUUGCCACUAUGAGUUUGGAACCCUGAACAGACCGCCGGUGUUAAGCCGGAGGAAGGAGACGAUAAGGCCAUAUUUU
rnacentral:rRNA from 1 species